rnacentral:rRNA from 1 species
AGUGAACGCUGGCGGUAGGCCUAACACAUGCAAGUCGAACGGCAGCACAGUAAGAGCUUGCUCUUACGGGUGGCGAGUGGCGGACGGGUGAGGAAUACAUCGGAAUCUACUUUUUCGUGGGGGAUAACGUAGGGAAACUUACGCUAAUACCGCAUAUGAUCUACGGGUGAAAGCAGGGGAUCUUCGGACCUUGCGCGAUUGAAUGAGCCGAUGUCGGAUUAGAUAGUUGGCGGGGUAAAGGCCCAACAAGGCGACGAUCCGUAGCCGGGCUGAGAGGAUGGUUCGGCCCCCCUGGAACUGAGACCCGUCCCAGCUCCUAACGGGAGGAAGCAGUGGGGAAUUUCGGACAUGGGGCGAAAGCUUGAUCCAGCAAGCCCGCGUGGGUGAAGAAGGCCUUCGAGUUGUAAAGCCCGUUUGUUGGGAAAAAAAAGUGGCAGGUUAACUCCGCGCUGUUCUGAGGGAACCAAAAAGAUAGGCACGGGUUACCUUCGU